rnacentral:tRNA from 1 species
UCCUGGGUGGCUCAGAUGGUAAAGCGUCUGCCUACAAUGCGGGAGACCUGGGUUCGAUCCCUAGGUCGGGAA